CCCGCACAAGCGGAGGAACAUGUGGUUUAAUUCGAUGAUACGCGAGGAACCUUACCUGGGCUUAAAUGUAGAGUGCAUGAUGUGGAAACAUGUCUUCCCUUCGGGGCUCUCUGCAAGGUGCUGCAUGGUUGUCGUCAGCUCGUGCCGUGAGGUGUCGGGUUAAGUCCCAUAACGAGCGCAACCCUUAUCGUUAGUUGCCAGCGGGUAAUGCCGGGAACUCUAACGAAACUGCCGGUGUAAACCGAGAGGAAGUGGGGAUGACGUCAAAUCAGCACGGCCCUUAUGUCCAGGGCUACACACGUGUUACAAUGGCCGGUACAGAGGGCAGCUACCUGGAGACAGGAUGCGAAUCUCGAAAGCCGGUCUCAGUUCGGAUCGGAGUCUGCAACUCGACUCCGUGAAGCUGGAUUCGCUAGUAAUCGCGCAUCAGCCAUGGCGCGGUGAAUACGUUCCCGGGUCUU
rnacentral:rRNA from 1 species